UGGGGAAUAUUGGACAAUGGGGGCAACCCUGAUCCAGCGAUGCCGCGUGUGUGAAGAAGGCCUUCGGGUUGUAAAGCACUUUAGUUGGGGAAGAAGGCGUGUGGUUGAAUAGGCCAUACGAUUGACGGUACCCAAAGAAUAAGCACCGGCUAACUCUGUGCCAGCAGCCGCGGUAAUACAGAGGGUGCGAGCGUUAAUCGGAGUUACUGGGCGUAAAGGGCGCGUAGGCGGUUUUAUAAGUGAGAUGUGAAAGGCCUGGGCUUAACCUAGGAACGGCAUCUUAGACUAUAGGACUAGAGUGCAGUAGAGGGUGGCGGAAUUUCCGGUGUAGCGGUGAAAUGCGUAGAGAUCGGAAGGAACACCAGUGGCGAAGGCGGCCACCUGGACUGUCACUGACGCUGAGGCGCGAGAGCGUGGGUAGCAAACAG
rnacentral:rRNA from 1 species